CUGGUUGAUCCUGCCAGUAGUCAUAUGCUUGUCUCAAAGAUUAAGCCAUGCAUGUGUAAGUAUAAGCCCUUGUACGGCGAAACUGCGAAUGGCUCAUUAAAACAGUUAUCGUUUCUUUGAUGGUCAACUUACUACAUGGAUAACUGUAGUAAUUCUAGAGCUAAUACAUGCGCAAAGACCCGACUUCACGGAAGGGUUGUGUUUAUUAGAUACAAAGCCAACCUGUGUUCGCACAGUCCUUUGUUGGUGAUUCAUAAUAACCUAGCGGAUCGCAUGGGUACGCCCGGCGAUGGAUCUUUCAAGUUUCUGACCUAUCAGCUAUCGACGGUAGGGUAUUGGCCUACCGUGGCUAUGACGGGUAACGGAGAAUUAGGGUUCGGUUCCGGAGAGGGAGCCUGAGAAACGGCUACCACAUCUAAGGAUGGCAGCAGGCGCGCAAAUUACCCAAUCCUGACACAGGGAGGUAGUGACAAGAAAUAACAAUGCUAGGCUUUACAGUCUGGCAAUUGGAAUGAGUAGAUUUUAAAUCUCUUUACGAGUAUCAAUUGGCGGCAAGUCUGGU
rnacentral:rRNA from 1 species